rnacentral:rRNA from 1 species
GGUGAAAAGCACCCCGGAAGGGGAGUGAAAUAGAACCUGAAACCGUGUGCUUACAAGUAGUCAGAGCCCGUUAAUGGGUGAUGGCGUGCCUUUUGUAGAAUGAACCGGCGAGUUACGAUUUGAUGCAAGGUUAAGCAGUAAAUGUGGAGCCGUAGCGAAAGCGAGUCUGAAUAGGGCGUUUAGUAUUUGGUCGUAGACCCGAAACCAGGUGAUCUACCCUUGGUCAGGUUGAAGUUCAGGUAACACUGAAUGGAGGACCGAACCGACUUACGUUGAAAAGUGAGCGGAUGAACUGAGGGUAGCGGAGAAAUUCCAAUCGAACCUGGAGAUAG